rnacentral:lncRNA from 1 species
GGAUCACUAAGAUCCAAUGACCGUCCUUUUUUCUCAUAAUAAAACUUUUAUUACUUUUAUACUCUGAAAUAUCAGGGUCGUUGAUAAAACGAGCUAACAGCCCAGAUUCAUUCAUGCAUCUUAAACCAACCAAACACCCCAAAACCCUCAUUCAUUCCCAACCCUACACGGCCGCCUCUCUCUCCCAAAUCUCUGUCUUUUUUCUCAUCCCAACUGACCCCGUCAGCCACAAAUCCUAGCACAAAUUUAUGCAAGGUCACAAAUUCAAACUCCAAAUCAUUCAAUUUUUUCCCUACAUCCGCGAAUCAUGCAGAUACUUCUGUUUUCAUCACUAAAAUUCAAAAGCCCUAAUUUGAACCCUAGACUUAAAUUGUGCUAUUGAGAACCGUUUGUUAUCCCACCGCUCUUUUAAUUCUAUGGCAUGCAUUACCAUGUAUUUGACUUCAAUAUCAUUAUUCUUUGUCCAGAGGUGAAACGCAGUGACGUAUGGACAUUGGGCUUUUUUUAUGGGUCUUCGCGUUCAACGACCAUCUCUUCAUGCCCAGGUAAAUCCAUGUUACUUUUCCCCUCCGUUCUUCACCAAUUUCACCUCUAUUGCUAUAAUCAUCUAUGCCAUCAUGAAUUUCUAUUAUCGAUUUGAAAUCUAACCAGAACCUUAAGGUUUUAUCGGCACUAUAAAAGGGGCAUUCAGUGUCCUCACCAAAUAGACAUCUAAUACGAUCAGAAACACAAAAGGAAAGAACGAAAAGGAUUAAAAUUUGAGGUUUUCUCGCUUGUCCAGUAAUGCUCUUUGAUUUUAUCCAUUUUCUUUCUCUUUCAUUAUCCAGCGUGAGUUCAACUACUGUUGGUCUUGAGUUUGGAUCCAUAAACGGUUGUUGGAUGUUCCCUACUUGGUUUGCUUCUCCAUAGAAGGUCAGUACAUACUGACCCCCCCUCCCCCCCUUUACAUUGGAAUAAUCGUUUGGUUCUGUAUUUUCCUAUUUUAUUCUCUAAUUGUUUGUGCUAGAUAUUAAAAUUGUGUUUAUCAUGACUUGUCUUUCUAUGAUGUUCUCACUGUUAAGUUAGGGAUUUCUUCAUCUAGUUAUGUUGUAUUGUUAUCAAGCCAUGCUGUCAAAUUCUAUUCUUAUCAUCUGAUUAAUAAAAAUGCUUCUAUGCCGAGUAAUGUUCUUAUGGCCAGGCCUCUAUGAUUAGUUAAGGUAAUCUCUAUGUUGAGUUUGUGUAUAGAUAUCCUCUGUUAGUAAAGUAACAAUCAUAUAUUCUUUAUCAUGUUAGCUGAACGAGUUGAAUCAUGUUCUUGAACAUUUCUUUGUGUUUCUGUACCUCCAUAUCAACUUGAUCCUUCUACUUGUGAUAUUGUACUGUUCCUACAAAUGUUUUCCCUGAAGCCUAUGUUUUUGACAUGAUAACUACCUGAUAAUUUUGUAGUUAAUAACUUGCGCAUUCUGCAUAUUCAAUGGUCCAUAUAUGGCUAUUAUUCUUAGACCCUGUUAAAGCUUCAUUGAUCUAGAUCCUAUAUUGAUGAUGUUAUAUGUAUUCUUUUCUGCUAACCAAGUAGUUGAGAUAAAAUUAGGUUGCUAAAAAUUUUCUUGAGAACAUUGUUAAUACUUGCCAACACUAAGCCAUUUGAUACUUGUAAUAUUCUGCUGUUUUGAUUAAGUUCUUACCUUUCAUGCUAUCUUGUUAGACUCUAAAAAGAAGCAUGCUCAUGUCAUUAUAGUAGAAUGAUCUCUAUGUGCCCUCUGUGAUAACUUGAAACCAUGCAAUGAACCUUGUUAAUGUAUUAGGAAAAUUGCAUUCAUGACUGAACAUAGUUUGAUUAGGAUAAAACUCUAUAGUGAGUACUGACACUUUCCAUCUGGUGACUGUUUGAGCUCUGUGAGACUUCUGUUGUUAUGUUAUAAACCUUUUACAUCUGAGUCCACACCUGCCAUUAUUAAUUUGGUUAAGUUCACAGAAAAACACAUAAUUUUAGUUUAAAGUUUGUAUGCUUGCAAUUAUGUGUCACAAUUCUGACCUUACUGUGGUGAUACACUGUUUUGAGUUUAUGAAUAUUGUUUGUCAAAAGGCUUGUCUCUGAUGCUUAGAAUGAUCUCUUCUUAUGACUCCAACUAUUAGGCUUAGCCAUGACUUCUCACAAUCCUGAUUCCUACAUGUUUUUCAUGUUAACCUGUAUACAAACCAUGUGUUGAGAUUUGUUGAGAUACUAUACUAGUUUACAUGCUCAACUGUUAGCCCAAUAUGUCAUGUCUGUCUUGAUAAGUUAAAGUGAAUGUCACUCACCAGUUAGGCUUGGUCUUAACUAUACUGAAGCCUUAUCUUUUAAGUGCUCGUGCACUGUUCUUUUACCCUUAACCUAUAUAAAAGAACUUUGAGCAUCAAACCUCUAGUGUCACUCACCAGUUAGGACCGGUUACCGGUUUCAAAAUAUCGGUUUUAUCGGUUCCGUGCAUGGCCGGUGAAAAUUUGAACGGAACGGUUCCGGGCCUAAGGGGCCGGACCGGACCAUUUUUUUUUUGUAUUUUAAUUUUUGUAUAACUAUCAUAAUUUAUAUUACGAUAAAUUAAAAAUAUAAAAUAUAAAAAUAAUCUUAUAAAAAGAGUGUUAGAAUAAAUUUUAAUGGCUUUAAAAGCCUUAUAUUUCAAUAUUUCAUUAAAAAUUUAAGAUAAUACAUUAAAGACGGAAAAGAAUUUAACUUAUAAUUUGCAAAUUCUUUUUUUAAUUCAAACUUGCAAAUUAAAGUUUACAUUUUACAAUAACUAAAUUAAAGAAAAAAUAGUAAAUUCAAAUUUGAAUUAUUAAAUAUUAAUCAAGAAUUUCAAAGGUUUUGCAUUGCCUUAGUAAGUUCUUCAUAAUCAAUAUAAACUUCUUGGCCAUCUUCUGUAAUGUUAAAUUCAGAUGGAUUACCAUGUGUUAAUAUAUCUCCAUGUUCCUCGUCUUCUGGUCUAUCAACAUCUUCUCGCCCCUGAUUUCUUCGUUCCGAUCUAAUCCAAUCUCUGAAACAAAUAAAUACUUCCAAAGUAUUGCUUCCCAAUGAAUGGCGGGUGUGAUCUAGUUGUUGUCUGGAUUGACUAAAUGCACUCUCUGAUACAACAGUUGAAAUUGGCACAUUUAGCACGUCCCGAGCCAUAGCGGAAAGAACAGAAAAUUGCUUUUCAUUCUCAUGCCACAAUCCCAACGGUGAAAAUUCCUUUGUGCGAAGCUCUGUUUGCUUUUGCAAGUAGAAUUAAAGUUCAUCAAUGUUCCUCCUACUGGUUUGAGUGAAAGUAAAUGUAGACCAAAUAUUAUAACCAUCAAGGCCUUCAUCUUCAUCCAUAGUAGCAGAUGCAGUGCAAGUAGUACAAUGCAUAGUGGGAUUAACAUUACCUGCAUUAAUAGCAGCAUCAUCAAUUAUAUUUGCAUAAUAAUUAUAUAAUUAUUAUAAAUAAUUAUUUAGCUUGUUCAUACAACAAUAUAUAUCUAGGGUUUCAGUUGGUCCAAUCUUCAUAUAAGCAUAUAAAGCAUUGAUUAAUUUGUGACAAUUAGACAUCUUAAUAGAAUGAUUUAAAACAACACCAAUUAAGUAAAUAGGAGGAAUUGGAAAGAAAUAUUUUUUAAAUUUGCUUGCAUUUUUUCAACAGCAUCCUUAUAUUUUUUUUUCUUCUUAAAUUCAGAGAGUAGAAAUGAAAUUUCAGCUAUAUGUACUAAAACCAUAGUAACAGUAGAGUAAUAUGCUCCAGAAAACUCAACAGUAGCUGUAUAAAAUUUAUGUAAAAAUAUAACAACAUCAUUAAUGGCCUCCCAAGUAUUAGUUGUUAACAUACGGUUUGGAUCGGUACAAUGCGCAUUAGCAACUUCAGUUAUCGGCAAUCUAUAUUUGUAGCAACAUUUUUAAAAAUAAGUAUGUAUAAUUCCUAGUAACAAUUUCAUCUAGCAUGAAUCUAGGGUUAAGGUUAUGUUUGGUACACUUAGUCUUAAAUUCCCUAAUUCUAGAUUGUCUAUUAUUUUCUUGAAUAACACCAACUUCUCUUCUAACAUGAGUACCCCCAGUGAGCGCGGUCGACUUAUAGCGCUUGGGCUGAAGAAGCCCCUCCGAAGUCUGUACACACCCCCAAUGAGCGUAGAUGAUUAUAUAUAUUCAGGAUGGACUUCCCAGGACAUGGACUUGCCUUACUUACGAUGAUUAUAUAUAUAUUCGGGAUGGAUUUUCCCAGGGCAUAGACUUGCCUUACUUAUUUAUAUUGUAAUGAAUUUAAUUGGACAUGGAUCUUGUCCAUCUCAUUUGCAUUUGGGGAUAAAUUACCCCAGGGCCGGAUUGGCCUUAUACGGUACUGGGUGACUGACUGUCAGUCGAUGUGUAUAUAUAUACGGGUUGGAACACCUCUGGGCUGGAUUGGCCAUAAACUGUACCGAGUGACCGAAUAAUUUGUGACCAGUAUUUACAUGAGGUCUUUUUUUUUUACUGAGAUGUCAUAUUCUUCAUAUCAUGCAGUAUUGAUCUAUUUCACUUGUACUGAGUUUAACUGUUAAAUUUGAAAGUAUGUCUACGUUUUGUACCAUUAUUUAUACUGGACUGUACUUGCGGAGCUCGUCAUUGCUUUCAGCCCAGAGGUUAGUCUUGUUACUUAUUGAGUUAGUUGUACUCAUACUACACUCUGCACUUCGUGUGCAGAUCUAGGUGCUCCCGGAUAUGAAGACUGUUAGAAUUCGAGGUUCUUUCCGUUGGAAACUAUCAAGGUAGCUGCUUGAAGACCGCAUACUUGAUUCCCUUCAUGUUUAAUUAUUGUACUGUUCUAUAUUUCAGACAGUGAUUUUUUCCAGUCAGACUUUGUAUUCAUUUAGAUGCUCAUGUACUCAGUGACACCGGGUUUAAGAGUGUUUAUAUAUGUAUUUGUGAAUUNNNNN